UACUCCUACGGGAGGCAGCAGUGGGGAAUUUUGGACAAUGGACGAAAGUCUGAUCCAGCGACGCCGCGUGAAGGACGAAGGUUUUCGGAUCGUAAACUUCUUUUACAGGGGACGAAAGCUCGCAAGAGUUUGACGGUACUCUGUGAAUAAGCCACGGCUAACUACGUGCCAGCAGCCGCGGUAAUACGUAGGUGGCGAGCGUUACUCGGAAUUACUAGGCGUAAAGCGAGUGUAGGCGGGAGUGUAAGUCCGCUGUUAAAUCUCAUGGCUCAACCAUGAACAGCCGGCGGAUACUGUGCUUCUUGAAUUCGGUAGAGGAAACUGGAAUUCCAGGUGUAGCGGUGAAAUGCGUAGAUAUCUGGAAGAACGCCAAAGGCGAAGGCAGGUUUCUGGGCCGCAAUUGACG
rnacentral:rRNA from 1 species